UACGUAGGCAGCAAGCGUUGUUCGGAGUUACUGGGCGUAAAGGGUGCGUAGGCGGUCCUAUAAGUAUGGUGUGAAAUCUCCCGGCUUAACUGGGAGGGUGCGCUACAGACUGUGGGACUAGAGUGUGGGAGAGGAAAGUGGAAUUCCUGGUGUAGCGGUGAAAUGCGUAGAUAUCAGGAGGAACACCGGUGGCGAAGGCGGUUCUCUGGGCCUUACCUGACGCUGAGGCGCGAAAGCUAGGGGAGCAAACAGG
rnacentral:rRNA from 1 species